GGUUAAAUUAUUAAGGGCCCCCCAAGGGUUCCUUGGUAGUAAGAACCCGAUGAAGGACGUGGUAAGCUGCGAUAAGCCUAGAUAAGUUGCAAUCGAACGUAAGAAUCUAGGAUUUCCGAAUGGAGCAAUCUAUUAAGAUGGAGUCUUAAUACGAAAGAGGGAACCGCGUGAACUGAAACAUCUAAGUAACGCGAGGAAAAGAAAGUAAAAACGAUACCCAAAGUAGCGGCGAGCGAACUGGGUCAAGCCUAAACCUUAAAUAUGUCAAGGAUACAGCCGUUGUAUUUAAGGGGUUGAGGGACAGAGUGUGAAGAACUGUAAGAUAUUCAAUAUAGUGUAUUGAUGAAUUAGAAUUGUCUGGAAAGAUNAACCGNAGAAGGUGAAAGUCCUGUAUAAGUAAAUCCUUACACAUAUAACUUUGCUCCCAAGUAACAUGGAACACGAGGAAUUCUGUGUGAAUCUGUGAGGACCAUAUCUCAUAAGGCUAAAUACUCU
rnacentral:rRNA from 1 species